rnacentral:rRNA from 1 species
GACGAACGCUGGCGGCGUGCUUAACACAUGCAAGUCGAACGGAAAGGCCCUGCUUUUGUGGGGUGCUCGAGUGGCGAACGCGUGAGUAACACGUGAGUAACCUGCCCUUGACUUUGGGAUAACUUCAGGAAACUGGGGCUAAUACCCGAUAGGAGCUCCUGCUGCAUGGUGGGGGUUGGAAAGUUUCGGCGGUUGGGGAUGGACUCGCGGCUUAUCAGCUUGUUGGUGGGGUAGUGGCUUACCAAGGCUUUGACGGGUAGCCGGCCUGAGAGGUGGACCGGCCACAUUGGGACUGAGGUACGGCCCAGACUCCUACGGGAGGCAGCAGUGGGGAAUAUUGCACAAUGGGCUGAAGCCUGAUGCAGCAACGCCGCGUGCGGGAUGACGGCCUUCGGGUUGUAAACCGCUUUCGCCGGUGACGAAGCGUGAGUGACGGUAAUGGGUAAAGAAGCACCGGCUAACUACGUG